CGACGCAGAGAGAGGCACCGAAUGAAACCUAUUCUGAACAGAUGUUAGUAUUUUACAAAAGUCACGUGAAAUGAACAGAUGUUGUUGUAGAACAGGGACUCGCCUUGGUUCGAGAGCAUUCCUCGACAGAAAGGCUUCGAAAUAAGAUCGGAGAGAAGCAUUAGCGUUCUAUCCACAACAAAAAACGACUCAGCACAUCGUGUGGGUGAUAAUAGAUUACCACGGGCCUCACCUGCGAUGGAACCUCGGCCUACGUCCCAUAGGAAAUCUAUCAAACUAAAAUGGACGGUUCCAACCGCGCAGGAAUUUGCUGGAGAUGGGCAGGGGCGUUUGUGAAGCAGGUCGUCAACAGGCUGACUCAUCACAUAUGGCCCCAGAACCGUGUUCCUCUGCCAAGAUGACACUGCACAGGAUAUAGUCCACAUCAUCAGCCACCUGGUCAGGUGACCCUGAUAACAACAACAACAACAACAACAACAACAACAACAACAACAACAAGGAACAAACAAAAGUUGAUUGGAUGGUGUAAGAGAUGAUUCUGACUGCAAGUUUCCAUUGUGGUCCGACUGAAUCUACCAAUGGAUAUCCUGGUGUAUCUGCCUGGUGUAUCUGCUUCUGGACUGAACAGGGCUGGAGAGGACCACAGUUCCUCUCAACAAAUAGGCCCACAUCAAUGAACUUCUCCAGAUGAGACCGUGUGGAAUACUGAUGUGAUACUCAUACAUGCAAAAUGCUACUACAGGAUAGAAUAGCAUGGAGAACUUUAUGACACAAACAACAGUCAUACUGAAGCUAACAUGGACACGUUUGCAAUGAUGCAAUAUUUAGGAAUUGAUACCCACACAAUAGUGGGUGGAUGAUCACUCGUUACAAUAGGGAAAUAGUGGGUGGAUGAUCACUCGUUACAAUAGGGAAAUAGUGGGUGGAUGAUCACUUGUUACAAUAGGGAAAUAGUGGGUGGAUGAUCACUCGUUACAAUAGGGAAAUAGUGGGUGGAUGAUCACUCGUUACAAUAGGGAAAUAGUGGGUGGAUGAUCACUCGUUACAAUUAGGAAAUAGUGGGUGGAUGAUCACUCGUUACAAUAGGGAAAUAGUGGGUGGAUGAUCACUCGUUACAAUAGGGAAAUAGUGGGUGGAUGAUCACUCGUUACAAUAGGGAAAUAGUGGGUGGAUGAUCACUCGUUACAAUAGGGAAAUAGUGGGUGGAUGAUCACUCGUUACAAUAGGGAAAUAGUGGGUGGAUGAUCACUCGUUACAAUAGGGAAAUAGUGGGUGGAUGAUCACUCGUUACAAUAGGGAAAUAGUGGGUGGAUGAUCACUCGUUACAAUAGGGAAAUAGUGGGUGGAUGAUCACUCGUUACAAUAGGGAAAUUGCACACACUUUGUUUUUGGGAUUAUAUUUAUAGAUGUUGUGUUUUACAAGUAUUUUUUGGAUUAUGUUAUAGCUUAUAAAUACCCAUUUUUGCUUUUCUUGUAUUUAUUUAGAGAACAUGUAUGUUGGCACAUUUUAUCGCGGAUAUUAAUAUUUGGUGCUUGAUGAGAAGUUAUCUUCAAAAGUUUUGUAACAAGAUUUGGUUUUACGACAUUAAAGACAUGGAAGGCUGUUUUAACUACUGAACUAUGUACGAUGACCCGACUGUAUCUAACUGUAUCAUCUAUAUUAGAUUGAAAUGUUUGUGAAACUAAUCCAGGGGGUCACAGAGGUUGAGAGUUGAAAGUGUUAAGUCUCGUUAAACAACCCAAAACCUCUUAGACAUAAUACCACAGUGUCAUGUGUCUGUACCCUGAUCCCUGCAGGAAACCCAUCUGCCUCUCAAAUGGCACCCUAUUCCCUAUAUAGUGCACUACAUGCAUAUUCCUAUGUAGUGGCCCAUAGGGUUCUGGUCAAAAUAGUGCACUAUAUAGGGAAUAGGGUGCCAUUUAGGACGCUGACCCAUUCCGAGGACCCUGGUAUCUCCCUGCUUUAACGAUGCAGGACGACGUAAAGCUUGACUUAUCUCCCUCCCCAAUCACUGUGUCACCAGGGUGCUGGCUCCGUCCUGCUGGAGGGAACAGCCUUGCUGUUUGUGACCUGUGUGAUAAAUCAAGUUCAAAGCAGAGGGUUGCACGCUGACAGCAAGUUUUAAGUUCCUCGGCAUACACAUCACAGACAAACUGAAUUGGUCCACUCACACUGACAGCGUCGUGAAGAAGGCGCAGCAGCGCCUCUUCAACCUCAGGAGGCUGAAGAAAUUCGGCUUGUCACCAAAAGCACUCACAAACUUCUACAGAUGCACAAUCGAGAGCAUCCUGGCGGGCUGUAUCACCGCCUGGUACGGCAACUGCUCCGCCCUCAACCGUAAGGCUCUCCAGAGGGUAGUGAGGUCUGCACAACGCAUCACCGGGGGCAAACUACCUGCCCUCCAGGACACCUACACCACCCGAUGUUACAGGAAGGCCAUAAAGAUCAUCAAGGACAUCAACCACCCGAGCCACUGCCUGUUCACCCCGCUAUCAUCCAGAAAGCAAGGUCAGUACAGGUGCAUCAAAGCUGGGACCGAGAGACUGAAAAACAGCUUCUAUCUCAAGGCCAUCAGACUGUUAAACAGCCACCACUAACAUUGAGUGGCUGCUGCCAACACACUGUCAUUGACACUGACCCAACUCCAGCCACUUUAAUAAUGGGAAUUGAUGGGAAAUGAUGUAAAUAUAUCACUAGCCACUUUAAACAAUGCUACCUUAUAUAAUGUUACUUACCCUACAUUAUUCAUCUCAUAUGCAUACGUAUAUACUGUACUCUACAUCAUCGACUGCAUCCUAAUGUAAUACAUGUAUCACUAGCCACUUUAACUAUGCCACUUUGUUUACUUUGUCUACAUACUCAUCUCAUAUGUAUAUACUGUACUCGAUACCAUCUACUGUAUGCUGCUCUGUACCAUCACUCAUUCAUAUAUCCUUAUGUACAUAUUCUUUAUCCCCUUACACUGUGUAUAAGACAGUAGUUUUGGAAUUGUUAGUUAGAUUACUUGUUGGUUAUCACUGCAUUGUCGGAACUAGAAGCACAAACAUUUCGCUACACUCGCAUUAACAUCUGCUAACCAUGUGUAUGUGACAAAUAAAAUUUGAUUUGAUUUUUGACAGA